GUUUUUUUGGGUGUCACUUUAUCACAAUCAAAGAGUGACCUUAUCAGAUUUUAGAAUUCUGAGAGAUUCUGAGAACACCAUGACCUAACUAUGAAUGCCAGGUCAGCUACUAACCACACAGAGACACUGGUCAGGCCAGGUCCUGAGUCAGGGGUUCCUUUUCUCGUUUUUACCAGCUGUCUCAGAGAUGACUGCACCCCUUCCCCUCCAUGAUGAGCCCACAUGUGGUUAUGUUUAGCUUUUUUCUGAUCAUUGGAUUGUGUAGCAAUACAGCAUCCACCCCCAACCCAUCCCCGCCCCAAAUACUGCACAUGCUAUUGUAACUAGCCCUGGAAUCCUCUGUCUUCCAAAUGUAACAUAGGGUGGUAAGUUCCUGAGAUUUUCUCUCUUAGAGAAGGUCGCAGUUUCCUCAGAGCUGGAGAAUAAGGGCUUGGGCUAAGACAGUGACAGUGUGGAAGUGGAGAAUUUGGGGUCCACGGUGUUAAAGAGGUCACAUUGAUCAGAUCCUCAGAACAAGGAACUGAGGAUUCAGACAUUGCUGCCUUAGGAGACUGAGUAUUAAAGAUGUUGUUGGUGAAGAUGAAGUUUAUUAGUCUACAGUAGGUAUUGGGGAGACAUGAUAAUUUCUGUUUGGGACAUAUUUGAUUUGAGGUGCUCAAGGUAGAGAUGGCCUGUAGGCAGUGGAGUGCAGGGUUUAAUGGAGAGGGUGUAGUGCUCAUCAACACAGAGAAAGCAGGCCAGCACCUUAGAUAACAAAGGACAACACAGAGAAUGAGAAGAGAAGGGCUCCUGAACAGAACUCAAAUAAGUAACCAGAAAAAUGAAAAAAAAAAAAAAAAAAAAGUAUGAGGAGUUUAUCCAAAGCCAGAAUCAAAGUUAAGAAAGGGCUAAUAAAUGUGUGCUAUAAAAAAAAAAUCAAAGACAUCUGGGAACCCAAAAACUAUGACUACCCAUGCCAUGAAGAGUUCAUAAAUGAUGGAAGUACUUUGGCUUUCAGCAAGAUGCUAUUUCUUUGCAAUGUUACCUCUUUGGGGAACAAAUAUGAAAAAUAAAAUGUGUCAUUUUACAUGAUACA
rnacentral:lncRNA from 1 species